CUCGUAGGUGGCCAACUAAGUCAAACGUGAAAUCCCUCGGCUUAACCGGGGAACUGCGUUUGAUACUGGAUGGCUUGAGUUUGGGAGAGGGAUGCGGAAUUCCAGGUGUAGCGGUGAAAUGCGUAGAUAUCUGGAGGAACACCGGUGGCGAAGGCGGCAUCCUGGACCAAUACUGACGCUGAGGAGCGAAAGCUAGGGGAGGCAAACG
rnacentral:rRNA from 1 species